GUCAGAUCUGUGACCAAGCAUCUUUUAUCUACUCCCCAAGCAGCCUUAUUGGAGCGUUAUCUGCAGUUCACAACCAGUGUGUCUCACGUUCCGAGAUUGUGGUGAUUAUUAAAAGCGGCAAUGUGAAGUGCCACUACGAGACAAACCACAGAGCAUCUUUUGAGCAGAGUAUUCUCAGGAUCCAGCAGUGAUGAAAACAUGUAGAUGCAAACCUGUAGCCCACCCAGCAGAGGCAGGGAGUGCCUCUCUGAGGAAACCUGCUGUUGUCUUCAUCAUCUGACUGGAAGUCUGAAGGCAUUACACACCAUCUGUCAGCCAACUGGCCGGCCGGUCGGGCAGCAGGCCUCCAACAGCCUGAAGCUGCUGCUGUGAAUAUAAAGCAGAGUCAGAGUGCAUCGAUCACCGGCUCGCUCCAUCUGGUAUUCAACAUAAAUACGAGUGUGGACAGAAAAAGAUGAGGCAGCGGCUCAGGAACAGCUAACAUCAUUCAGCAGCAAACUCACUCAUCAUGUCAGAGACACUUUGAUACUUCAUUUCAUGCCAUUACUGUAUCUACUAAUAACUGUUUACUGACAGCUCACUGUAGCUUUGACCCCAACAUAC